UUUUAAAUAAAAUUAAUUAAUAAGAAAUUAAAUGAAAACAUUAAAUUUAUAUAAUUUGGCGGUAUUUUAAAUAGUUAGAGGAAUUUGUUAAUUAAAUGAUAGUCCACGAGUGGAGUGUCCUAUUAAAAUUUUAUGUAUUGUUGUAUAAAAAUUAUUUUAAGAGAAUAAUAAUUAAAAUAUUUUAUUUAAUAUGAAUUCAAAUCAAAAUGUAGGAUUAAUAGGUAAUAAUGAGUUACAAUUUAAUUUAAUAGAAUAUUUAUUUUUUUAAUUAAAAUAAUUAAUUAGGAUUUAAAAGUAAAUUUAUAAAAAUUUUUAAGUUGAAAUAA
rnacentral:rRNA from 1 species